AUGAUCUCUGACUGUGACAAACACACAGUAACAGCCUGUGUCUACAGUCUUCAUCAGUUUCAUGAGCAUCUUUUCUUCUCAAGACAGAGGUGUGUGUCUGACACUCAUCAGACCAUCAUCUCAUACAGGAAGAUGCCUGUCAGUCAUUUCUGUGGCUUAGAGAAUGAAACUGCCCCAAGAAUAUUUCACGGAGGAUCUUUAUAUACACAUUUUCAGAAAGAGUAAUAGUUUUUACACUUUUAAAAUUUAACAUACCUAACUAGAUGCUAAAUCAUUAAUCAAUAUCAAAUAAUCAGUAUGUUGACAGGUGAAAACAAUAAGGAAAAUAUCUGAAAGUGUAAAAAUAGUGAAUGGAAGGUGGUCUAUUGCAAAGAACUAAUGGUCAUACUUUAAAAGAAGGUUACAUUUGUAAACAUUAUUCACAUAUAUUAGUUAACAUGAACAAACAAUGUAAAAUAUUUGGUCACACUUUAUUUUAGGGUCCAAUUCUCACUAUUAACUAACCAUUAACUAUGACUUUUGCCUCAAUUAACUCCUUAUUUGCUGCUUAUUAAUAGUGUAUUAGGUAGUUGUUAAGUUUAGGGUAUUGGGUAGGAUUAUGGAUGUCAUGCAUUAUAUGUACUUUAUAAGCACUAAUAAACAGCCAAUAUGUUAAUAAUAGACAUGCUAAUAAGCAACAAGUUAUUAGUGUGAACUGGACCCUAUACUAAAGUGUUACCAAAUAUUUCUAAAGCAUCUAUCAAUGGCUAGAAUACAGGUUGACACUACAGAUAGUUGUCAAAAGUUAGAGCCAGUCUUCAGAUUUGAGUCAACAGAUUUCAAACCCUCAACAUCAACUAUAUCAACAAUAACUUCAGAGAAUAUGUCCUUGAUAAUUGGACAUCUGUCAUUGUGUUGGACAUCUGGAUGAAGAUCUUUAUUUUUCCUUCACCUCAUGAGUCAGUGAAAUCUUAAAAAAAAAAAAAAAAAAAUGGUGUUUGUCGCAAUAUGAAAAUAUGUAUGUACAGUCAGCAGGUCAUUAUUUCAUAAUAACCCAUAACUGUACUAAUGUACACACAUUACACAAACACUUGCCAAAUAAAUGUGGACGUGAAACAUUAAUCUGAGUUAAAAUUAUUUCAUGAUCUAAUUUGUAGAUUGGAUUAAAGCUUGAACAGAUUUCAGAUUGUGAACUAUUCUUAUUAAUUUACAAUGAGUGUGAAGUGCUCUUGGCCUUGAGAAACAUUGAGCUGUGUGUGGUUAGUUAUUCCGGCCACAGUGUCAUGCUUCCUGCUUUACUCUUCCUCUAGUAAAAAAAUAACUGCUGCAUAAUUUAAAAUGAGUUAAAGAGCCAGUAAGAUGAAAAUUCUAAGCUUCCUAUCACUGUUUAUAAGUCCUGUACGAUAGGUUUAAAUCCAUCCAAGGUUAAAAAACAUUGUCAUUUUGUCAAAAUAUCAUUUUAAAAUUAACUCAAACUGUUCAAAAGAUUCAGUUUCCUUAAACCCCACCUUUCGGUAGCAUACUGUGUUCUGAUUGGUCAACUAACAUAGUCAGUUUUGAUUGGUUGUUCCGCACACAACUUCACGGUAAACAAUGCGUUAGCAUCUGUUUGGGGUGAAUUAUGUCUUAUUCCUCUCAUCGCGAAGCAAACAGUAAAAUAAAAAACUUGAACAGUCUCGCUGCUUUUUCUUCUGUGUGUGUGUAUUCAAGCCGCGCGCUUCAGUUUGAAUCUGAAUAGCGCGUUCAGCACGGGGGCGUGGUCACAUUAGAUAUAAUGAAGGGAGACGUGGAAGAUUGGACAUCACGUUGUUUUCAUAUGGAUUACUUUAUCACAGAAUAUCUGUUAGCAGCACUUGUUACAAUUCAUUUUAAUUGACGUGUUUGUACAUGACGAUCAGCGCAGAGAAAGGCUGCAGACAGCACACAUACUGAUAAGACGUUCGGGAGAAAACAAACACAUAACUUCAUAAUCAUACUUGGCGUUGUGAUUCGGAGAUGCUUGUUGGUCUAAAUAAAGUUGGUAAUGAACCCUCUUUUAUGGCCAAACGCUUUGAAAAUCCAGCCUUGUACUCACUGAGAUUAGAAAAGCAGUCAUCAGUGAAAUGUUGUGAACACAACAAAAGGGAUUUGUUGUACUUCUCUGUUAUUGUGGUAAAAAUGAAUUUUAGCCAUUGGUUCUUCUGAUCUUCAUUCUUUGGCAGUUAAAAUAAAACAAACUUGCCUUUACAAUUAAAAACACACUGUCUCCUCGACUUGAUGCUAUCACACCAACCAGAGCGUCUGUGUGUGUGUGUGUGGGGGGGGGGGGGGGGGGGGCGGAGAUUAUUAUGCAAAGUGUUCCUAGUGACGUACAUAGAGAUGGGCAAAAGAUUUGAAAUCUAUAACGACUCGUUUCAGAGAUUCAGAGUCGACUCCUUACUUUAGAAGCCAAUAACUUUAUAAAUCGUGUACUUUUUGGUUUAAUUACUUUGCACAUUGUUUACACUGAUGGAUAGCUACAUCAUACACUGUAAUACAGGUAAUUUUUGAUUUCCCAUCUGUGUGGCUCUUUAAAUGUUAUAAUUUUACAGACUGCAAGAUUUCAGACACAAGGGUUGAAAAAACAUGUUCCUCAUUUAGAGAAGAAAGUAAAUCAAUUGAAAACACUGAAAAAAAGAAAUCUGAACAUUUGUUAAAUAGCAGGGAAACACACAGAGAAGAUCCAUCAUAAAUUCUGACAACAGAGAAAACAAAAGUUGAAACAUUGUAAUUAAACAGACUAAACAGAGUUUUUAGCUUUGCAAAAUUAUUUACACUUACAGUUUUUUCUGAAUGCUUAAGCGAUAAUCGUGAUUCUUGUAGCACAAUUUCUAAAACUAUUAAUACGUAUAGCAAAACCACUCUCUGAGUUUGCAAAACUAAAAGCACAAACACUGCUUUGCACUCAGUUUGCAAUUUUGUAACACACACUUUGCAAAACUGUAGGCACAAUUCACUGCACAACACUCUUUUUUCAGAACUUUAAACACAACUCACUGCUUACACUCAAUUACCAAAUUUCCAACACACUCCUAGCAAAAUUAUACACAUGUAUGGCUAUCAUUAACACUAUUUUGCCAACUGUCUGGCACAUUUUCACAUGUAAAAACUGUUUUAGAUAAUUAGUUCACUUUGCAAUCAGCCUGAGCACUAUAAAUAAGCCACAGGUAAGCUGUCUGUGUGGAGUACAAUGGAAGGAGCAGUAAGAGUGAGAAGAGUGAGAAUCAGAGGAGGCAGAGGAGGCUGAGUGAGAGGACGUGGAGGUGAACAAGCGAGAGGGUUAGAGGAAGUUAGAGGACAAGGAGGAGCAAGAAGAGGACGAUGACGGGAAAGAGGAAGUGUAAGAAGAGUAAGAAAUAGAAUAACUGAUGACAUCAGAGCUACAAUAGUGGACCGUGUCAUAAACCAUGGGAUGACCCUGAGGGAAGCUGGCCAACAGGUUCAGCCUAAUUUGAGCCGCUACACUGUGGCAAGCUUCAUUAGGACAUUUCGAAAUAUUAAUCGGUAAGUACUUUGUAGCACUGCCAUACUCUAAUGAGAAACACAACAGUACCAUACAUGCAAAAAUACUGAAUUGUUACUUUUUUCAGAAUUGCUAGACGUCCAG
ensembl:lncRNA